rnacentral:lncRNA from 1 species
GCUGAAUAGCUGAGAGGCGCACCCGGGCGGCCAGCUGGGCUCGGAGUGCAGCGGGGUUAGGAUGGACGAGGACGUGUUGCACCCUGAAGAGCCUCAUCAUCGCCUGCUCUUGAGGUUCACAGAUGAUACCUUUGAUCCAGAACUUGCAGCAACAAUAGGUUCACCUGCUUCCAGGCGGGCAGGGCGUUGUAUUCAUCCCUCGUCAUGUCUAGUGCAAACUGGAAACAUUGGGAGAAGCGCCCCGCGGCUCAGUGAAAGGAGCCGGGCGUGCGUGUGUUGUUUUAC